AUGAAGUGAGCUUGCUCACGGAUUUAGCGGCGGACGGGUGAGUAAUGCCUAGGAAUCUGCCUGGUAGUGGGGGAUAACGUUCCGAAAGGGACGCUAAUACCGCAUACGUCCUACGGGAGAAAGCAGGGGACCUUCGGGCCUUGCGCUAUCAGAUGAGCCUAGGUCGGAUUAGCUAGUUGGUGAGGUAAUGGCUCACCAAGGCGACGAUCCGUAACUGGUCUGAGAGGAUGAUCAGUCACACUGGAACUGAGACACGGUCCAGACUCCUACGGGAGGCAGCAGUGGGGAAUAUUGGACAAUGGGCGAAAGCCUGAUCCAGCCAUGCCGCGUGUGUGAAGAAGGUCUUCGGAUUGUAAAGCACUUUAAGUUGGGAGGAAGGGCAGUAAGCUAAUAUCUUGCUGUUUUGACGUUACCGACAGAAUAAGCACCGGCUAACUCUGUGCCAGCAGCCGCGGUAAUACAGAGGGUGCAAGCGUUAAUCGGAAUUACUGGGCGUAAAGCGCGCGUAGGUGGUUUGUUAAGUUGGAUGUGAAAGCCCCGGGCUCAACCU
rnacentral:rRNA from 1 species